rnacentral:rRNA from 1 species
CCUACGGGAGGCAGCAGUGAGGAAUAUUGGUCAAUGGACGCAAGUCUGAACCAGCCAUGCCGCGUGCAGGAAGACGGCUCUAUGAGUUGUAAACUGCUUUUGUACGAGGGUAAACGCAGAUACGCGUAUCUGUUUGAAAGUAUCGUACGAAUAAGGAUCGGCUAACUCCGUGCCAGCAGCCGCGGUAAUACGGAGGAUUCAAGCGUUAUCCGGAUUUAUUGGGUUUAAAGGGUGCGUAGGCGGUCGGAUAAGUUAGAGGUGAAAUCCCGAGGCUCAACUUCGGAAUUGCCUCUGAUACUGUUCGGCUAGAGAGUAGUUGCGAUAGGCGGAAUGUAUGGUGUAGCGGUGAAAUGCUUAGAGAUCAUACAGAACACCGAUUGCGAAGGCAGCUUACCAAGCUACUUCUGACGUUGAGGCACGAAAGCGUGGGGAGCAAACAGGAGUAGAUACCCGAGUAGUC